CCUGCCAUAGUUCAGUGGUAGAGCACCUGCGUUGCGUACUGAGGAUCCCCGGUUCAACCCCAGGCAUCCAGGUAGGA